AUUGAACGCUGGCGGCAGGCCUAACACAUGCAAGUCGAGCGAGCGGCGGACGGGUGAGUAAUGUCUGGGAAACUGCCUGAUGGAGGGGGAUAACUACUGGAAACGGUAGCUAAUACCGCAUACCCUCAGAUGUGCCCAGAUGUGAUUAGCUAGUAUGUGGGGUAAUGGCUCACCUAGGCGACGAUCACUAGCUGGUCUGAGAGGAUGACCAGCCAACCUGGAACUGCGACACGGUCCAUACUCCUACGGGAGGCAGCAGUGGGGAAUAUUGCACAAUGGGCGCAAGCCUGAUACAGCCAUGCCGCGUGUAUGAAGAAGGCCUUCGGGUUGUAAAGUACUUUCAGCGGGGAGGCGUUACCCGCAGAAGAAGCACCGGCUAACUCCGUGCCAGCAGCCGCGGUAAUUC
rnacentral:rRNA from 1 species